GGACUACAGGGGUAUCUAAUCCUGUUCGCUCCCCACGCUUUCGAGUCUCAGCGUCAGUUUCAGUCCAGUAAGCCGCCUUCGCCACUGGUGUUCUUCCUUAUAUCUACGCAUUUCACCGCUACACAAGGAAUUCCGCUUACCUCUCCUGUACUCUAGCUCAAAAGUUUCUCAUGCCAUUCCUCGGUUAAGCCGAGGGAUUUCACAUGUGACUUUUCGAGCCGCCUACACUCCCUUUACACCCAGUAAUUCCGGAUAACGCUUGCCCCCUACGUUUUACCGCGGCGGCUGGCAC
rnacentral:rRNA from 1 species